UGAAGAACCAAAGCUCUCUCCUCCCCUUUCCCUCCCCUCCUCGUCCUUUCGCAUUGCACCCAGUGCAGUCCCCAACGCCAAGCUCCAUUGUGGUCCCCAUCGCCAGGCUCAUUGCAGAGCUGCAGACUCCAGUCAUAAGGAUGUUGGGUAGCAAGGAGCGGAGAAGAGACGCUGUCAGCAGAACAAUAUACACAAAGCAAACGGUGGUGCAAAUCCACGUGUGACAGCUGCGCUGGUGCUAAGCAAACAGAUGAAGGCAGGACAGCAAGAAGCGGAACCACACGCAGCGAUCUCCGGCUCUUCCAUGCAGAGACCCUCCCGGACCCCUCCCGCCCCGCACGCCUUACUCCCAGUAUCAACUGCACCACUCAGCUUGCUGUUGUCUGCAAACUUGAUGAGGAUGCACUCGAUGCCAUCACUGAUGUCACUGAUAGAUACUGAAGAGCACCGGUCCCAAGACAGACCCCCGAGGGACACCACUUGUGACCAUCCUCCAGCUGGACAUAGAGCCAUUGACAGCAACUCUUUGGCUGUGACCCUCCAACCAAUUCUUUAUUCAUCUAGUAGUCCAGCCUUCAAAUCCAUCUCUCUUCAACUUAGAGGCAAGGAUGUAGUGCAGGACCACAUCAAAAGCCUUGCACAAGUCCAGGCAGAUGACAUCAGUUGUCCUUCCUUUGUCCCACAAUGCCAUCGCUCCAUGGCAGAAGGCCACCAGAUUGGUUAGGCAAGGUCUGCCUUCGGUGAAGUCAUGCUGGCUGUCUCUGAUCACUUGCUCAUCCCUCAUAUGCCCUAACAUUUUCUAGGAGGAUCUGUUCUAUGGUCUUCUCAGGCACAGAGGUAAGGCUCAUGGGCCUAUAGUUCAGGGUCUUCCUUUCUCCAUUUUUGAAAAUGGGAGUGAAGUUUCCCUUUUUCCAGUCACCAGGGACUUCACCUGGCAGCUACAACUUCUCAAAUAUGAUGGACAGAUGCUUGGCAACCACAUCAGCCAGUUCCUUCAGAACCCUGCGAUGCAUGUCAUCAGGCCCCAAAGUAGUAAUGCUAGAAUAAGUGUCUCCAGCAUAAGGCAGAAGCAGCUGAUGGGAGAUGUCCUCAAUCACAGCCUUGGACUUGGAUAGUUCUGUUCCUGCAUCACAUUGCUAAUGGAAAGUUUAAGGUCUUAGACUCUAAAUGUAUAGGCUGUUUGGAUCAGGAAAGAUAUAUCAUACCUAUCUCUUCCUUUGCUUCCCUUUAACAUUUUUAGAGAGACAUAAAAUUAAAUAUUGGUAUAGAGGGGGAUAGUCUAUACACAAAGCUCUCCAGAAAGAGACAAAGAAGAAUUCUGGUUGAAAUAAUCACUGUUUCAGUUUGUCUGCUUGCAAUUUUUGGUUUAUUAUUGAGGUGGAUGUCAGCCUCUUCUCCCAGGUAACAGCUACAGGACAACAGGUAAUGGCCUUAAGUUGUGACAGGAGAGGUUCAGUUUGGAUGUCAGGAAACAUUUCUUCUUAGAAGGAGUGGUGAGGCAUUGGCACAGACUGCCCAGGGAGGUGGGGGAGUCACCAUCCCUGGAGGUGUUCAAGAAAUGUGGAGAUGUGGCACUGGGGGACAUGGUCAGGGGGCACGGUGGGGAGGGGUUGACGGUUGGACCUGAUGAUCUUAGUGGAUUUUUCCAACCUUAAUGAUAUUAUGAUUCUAUUCUGGUUCUUUUCAGCGACGGUGUUCCCAUGGGCACAGCAGAAGGACUUUAGUGAAGCUGUACAAAAAACUAGCCAAGUGUCUGCUGGCAUUCAUAAUAAUGGGGAUCAUUGUUUAAUCUUCCUCCCCCUUCUCCCCCCCCCUCCCCCUUUUUUUUUUUCUUUAGGCUACAUUUUAAUAAUAAAAACAGAAUUAUUUCAGGUAUGUACAUAAUAUAUUUCACCCUACAGCCUAGUGAUCUGAAAGAUGCAGAAAGCCUCAUCAUCAAGGUAAAGCAGAGCUUGCCCAUCUCAAACCACAGACAGAACUGCCGUGGAUCCUUGCUGCAGUCUCAAGACUUGGAAAGGCUUCACAUGAUUAAUUUUACAAAAAUUAUGUUCCCACAGAUUUCAUAAAUUUAGAAUUGUGUCGUCUGAUAACACUUGUAGUGAAUAAAGUAAAAUCCAGGCUGAA